AACGAACGCUGGCGGCAGGCUUAACACAUGCAAGUCGAGCGCCCCGCAAGGGGAGCGGCAGACGGGUGAGUAACGCGUGGGAACGUACCCUUCGCUACGGAAUAGCUCCGGGAAACUGGAAUUAAUACCGUAUGUGCCCUACGGGGGAAAGAUUCAUCGGCAAAGGAUCGGCCCGCGUCGGAUUAGCUAGUUGGCGGGGUAAAGGCCCACCAAGGCGACGAUCCGUAGCUGGUCUGAGAGGAUGACCAGCCGCAUUGGGACUGAGACACGGCCCAAACUCCUACGGGAGGCAGCAGUGGGGAAUAUUGGACAAUGGGCGCAAGCCUGAUCCAGCCAUGCCGCGUGAGUGAUGAAGGCCUUAGGGUUGUAAAGCUCUUUCACCGGAGAAGAUAAUGACGGUAUCCGGAGAAGAAGCCCCGGCUAACUUCGUGCCAGCCGCCGCGGUAAAAC
rnacentral:rRNA from 1 species